rnacentral:rRNA from 1 species
GAUAAACGCUGGCGGCGUGCCUAAUGCAUGCAAGUCGAACGGACUGAGAAAUCAGUUAGUGGCAAACGGGUGAGUAACACGUGGGAACCUACCUCUUAGUGGGGAACAACUCUCUGAAAGGAGAGCUAAUACCGCAUAAUCUUCUUCUGUGACAAGAAAGAAGGAAAGCAGAGAUGCGCUGAGAGAUGGGCCUGCGGCUGAUUAGCUAGUUGGUGAGGUAAUGGCCCACCAAGGCAAUGAUCAGUAGCUGGUCUGAGAGGACAGCCAGCCACACUGG